AACGAACGCUGGCGGCAGGCCUAACACAUGCAAGUCGAGCGCCCAGCAAUGGGAGCGGCAGACGGGUGAGUAACGUGUGGGGAUGUGCCCAAUGGUGCGGAAUAACCCAGGGAAACUUGGAUUAAUACCGCAUGUGCCCUUCGGGGGAAAGAUUUAUCGCCAUUGGAUCAACCCGCGUCUGAUUAGCUAGUUGGUGAGGUAAAGGCUCACCAAGGCGACGAUCAGUAGCUGGUCUGAGAGGAUGAUCAGCCACACUGGGACUGAGACACGGCCCAGACUCCUACGGGAGGCAGCAGUGGGGAAUAUUGGACAAUGGGCGCAAGCCUGAUCCAGCCAUGCCGCGUGAGUGAUGAAGGCCUUAGGGUUGUAAAGCUCUUUCGCCGGUGAAGAUAAUGACGGUAACCGGAGAAGAAGCCCCGGCUAACUUCGUGCCAGCCGCCGCCGUAA
rnacentral:rRNA from 1 species